rnacentral:rRNA from 1 species
CUACGGGUCGCAGCAGGCGAGAAAACUUUGCAAUGUGCGAAAGCACGACAAGGUUAAUCCGAGUGGUUUGUGCUAAACGAACCUUUUGACAGUCCUAGAAACACUGUUGAAUAAGGGGUGGGCAAGUUCUGGUGUCAGCCGCCGCGGUAAAACCAGCACCUCAAGUGGUCAGGAUGAUUAUUGGGCCUAAAGCAUCCGUAGCCGGCUCUGUAAGUUUUCGGUUAAAUCUGUACGCUCAACGUACAGGCUGCCGGGAAUACUGCAGAGCUAGGGAGUGGGAGAGGUAGACGGUACUCGGUAGGAAGGGGUAAAAUCCUUUGAUCUAUUGAUGACCACCUGUGGCGAAGGCGGUCUACCAGAACACGUCCGACGGUGAGGGAUGAAAGCUGGGGGAGCAAACCGGAUUAGAUACCCUUGUAGUC